UACGUAGGGGGCUAGCGUUGUCCGGAAUUAUUGGGCGUAAAGAGCUCGUAGGCGGUUUGUCGCGUCUGCUGUGAAAUCCCGAGGCUCAACCUCGGGUCUGCAGUGGGUACGGGCAGACUGGAGUGCGGUAGGGGAGAAUGGAAUUCCUGGUGUAGCGGUGGAAUGCGCAGAUAUCAGGAGGAACACCGAUGGCGAAGGCAGUUCUCUGGGCCGUAACUGACGCUGAGGAGCGAAAGCGUGGGGAGCGAACAGG
rnacentral:rRNA from 1 species